rnacentral:rRNA from 1 species
UACGGGAGGCAGCAGUGGGGAAUAUUGCACAAUGGGCGCAAGCCUGAUGCAGCCAUGCCGCGUGUAUGAAGAAGGCCUUCGGGUUGUAAAGUACUUUCAGUCGUGAGGAAGGUGUUAAGGUUAAUAACCUUAGCAAUUGACGUUAGCGACAGAAGAAGCACCGGCUAACUCCGUGCCAGCAGCCGCGGUAAUACGGAGGGUGCGAGCGUUAAUCGGAAUUACUGGGCGUAAAGGGCACGCAGGCGGUUAAUUAAGUUGGAUGUGAAAUCCCCGGGCUUAACCUGGGAAUGGCAUUCAAGACUGGUUAGCUAGAGUCUUGUAGAGGGGGUAGAAUUCCAUGUGUAGCGGUGAAAUGCGUAGAGAUGUGGAGGAAUACCGGCGGCGAAGGCGGCCCCUGGACAAAGGCUGACGCUCAUGUGCGAAAGCGUGGGGAGCAAACAGGGAUUAGAUACC